rnacentral:piRNA from 1 species
AGAAAUAAAUUCUGUAGAAAUCUCAGG